rnacentral:lncRNA from 1 species
AAGAAGACAGCUAAUCGAGAUGAAUAUUGAAUUCCAAAUAGAUAAAUUUCUUAUUUGAAUUUCUAUUACUUCGUUGAUAUGCAUAUUCUUAUCUUACCUAAGUAUUAAAAUUAUAUUUUGAUUUUGUUUUUGUAAGAGAAUCAUGAUUUUCGUUAAAAUCAAGAUAUUGUAUUUUGUUACUUAUCAAUGUGAUAUGAAUUACAA